rnacentral:lncRNA from 1 species
GUGGAGGAGAAUGGACUGGUGGGGGUGGAGAGUACACUGGUGGUGGUGGAGGUGGAGAUUGUACUGGUGGUGGUGGUGAGUAGACUGGUGGUGGAGGAGAAUGGACUGGUGGGGGUGGAGAGUACACUGGUGGUGGUGGAGGUGAAUGGACUGGUGGUGGUGGAGAUGAAUGGACUGGUGGGGGUGGAGAGUACACUGGUGGUGGUGGAGGUGAAUGGACUGGUGGUGGUGGAGAUGAAUGGACUGGUGGGGGUGGAGAGUACACUGGUGGUGGUGGAGGUGAAUGGACUGGUGGUGGUGGAGAUGAAUGGACUGGUGGGGGUGGAGAGUAAACUGGUGGUGGUGGAGGUGAAUGUACCGGUGGGGGUGGAGAGUAAACUGGUGGUGGUGGAGGUGAAUGUACCGGUGGGGGUGGAGAGUAUACUGGUGGUGGAGGUGAAUGGACAGGUGGGGGUGGAGAGUUAAUUGGCGACGGUGGUGGAGGAGAAUGAACUGAUGGUGGUGGAGGUGGAGAAUGGACCGGUGGUGGUGGAGAGUGAACUUGAACUGGUGGUGGUGGAGAGUGGACCGGUGGUGGUGGAGAGUGAACUAGAACUGGUGGUGGUGGAGAGUGAACUUGAACUGGUGGUGGUGGAGAGUGGACUGGUGGUGGUGGAGAGUGAACUUGAACUGGUGGAGGUGGAGAGUGAACUGGUGGUGGAGGAGAUUGAACUAGGUGUGGUGGCGGUGGAGAGUGGACCGGUGGAGGUGGAGAGUAAACAGGUGGUGGAGGAGAAUGAACUGGUGGAGGUGGGGAGUUAACAGG